GCGAUAAGCGCCGGUAAGGUGAUAUGAACCGUUAUAACCGGCGAUACCCGAAUGGGGAAACCCAGUGUGAUUCGUCACACUAUCAUUAACUGAAUCCAUAGGUUAAUGAGGCGAACCGGGGGAACUGAAACAUCUAAGUACCCCGAGGAAAAGAAAUCAACCGAGAUUCCCCCAGUAGCGGCGAGCGAACGGGGAGGAGCCCAGAGCCUGAAUCAGCAUGUGUGUUAGUGGAAGCGUCUGGAAAGGCGCGCGAUACAGGGUGACAGCCCCGUACACAAAAGCGCAUGUGCUGUGAGCUCGAUGAGUAGGGCGGGACACGUGGUAUCCUGUCUGAAUAUGGGGGGACCAUCCUCCAAGGCUAAAUACUCCUGACUGACCGAUAGUGAACCAGUACCGUGAGGGAAAGGCGAAAAGAACCCCGGCGAGGGGAGUGAAAAAGAACCUGAAACCGUGUACGUACAAGCAGUGGGAGCACCCUUCGGGGUGUGACUGCGUACCUUUUGUAUAAUGGGUCAGCGACUUAUAUUCUGUAGCAAGGUUAACCG
rnacentral:rRNA from 1 species